ACAGCAGUCGCCGCGGUAAUACGAAGGGUGCAAGCGUUAAUCGGAAUUACUGGGCGUAAAGCGUGCGUAGGCGGUGAGUUAAGUCUGCUGUGAAAUCCCCGGGCUCAACCUGGGAAUGGCAGUGGAUACUGGCUCGCUAGAGUGUGUCAGAAGAUGGUGGAAUUCCCGGUGUAGCGGUGAAAUGCGUAGAGAUCGGGAGGAACAUCAGUGGCGAAGGCGGCCAUCUGGGACAACACUGACGCUGAGGCACGAAAGCGUGGGGAGCAAACAGGAUUAGAUACCCCCGUAGUCCCUGUCUCUUAUAC
rnacentral:rRNA from 1 species